rnacentral:misc_RNA from 1 species
CAACCAUCAAGCCUGGCUUGUCGUUGGACCCCUUUGCAACUGAAAUAUGCGGCAGGUCCAAAAGAUAAUGACGGUGUCGUGUUUGACCCUAGAUGCAACGAGCUUUUUAUAGCACGCAUUGAAGUGGUCGGCCGACCCGGUCUUAACCAUCAUUUUCUAAGGUUGACCUCGGAUCAGGUAGGAAUACCCGCUGAACUUAA